rnacentral:rRNA from 1 species
AUUGAACGCUGGCGGCAGGCCUAACACAUGCAAGUCGAACGGUAACAGGAAGAUGCUUGCUUCUUUGCUGACGAGUGGCGGACGGGUGAGUAAUGUCUGGGAAACUGCCUGAUGGAGGGGGAUAACUACUGGAAACGGUAGCUAAUACCGCAUAACGUCGCAAGACCAAAGAGGGGGACCUUCGGGCCUCUUGCAAUCGGAUGUGCCCAGUUGGGAUUAGCUAGUAGGUGGGGUAACGGCCUACCUAGGCGACGAUCCCUAGCUGGUCUGAGAGGAUGACCAGCCACACUGGAACUGAGACACGGUCCAGACUCCUACGGGAGGCAGCAGUGGGGAAUAUUGGACAAUGGGCGCAAGCCUGAUGCAGCCAUGCCGCGUGUAUGAAGAAGGCCUUCGGGUUGUAAAGUACUUUCAGCGGGGAGGAAGGGAGUAAAGUUAAUACCUUUGCUCAUUGACGUUACCCGCAGAAGAAGCACCGGCUAACUCCGUG